rfam:Gossypium arboreum cultivar AKA8401 contig_129_9, whole genome shotgun sequence.
ACUUUUUAAGUUUGCUGUCAAAUCUCAAGGCUCAACCCUAGACAGGCGGUGGAAACUACCAUGCUGGAGUACGGUAGGGGUAGAGGGAAUUUUUGGUGGAACGGUGAAAUGCGUAGAGAUCGAAAAGAACACCAACGACGAAAGCACUCUACUGGGCUGACACUGAC